rnacentral:lncRNA from 1 species
AAAUUAACUAUCAAAAUUAUUCACACAGUUAUUCGCAAGUAGUGACAGUAAUUUAUGUGUAGCUUUUAUCCCAAAGGAUGUUCUAAGGUUGCUUAGCUCCUCUGUUAAUCCUGGUUUCCUGAUCAGAAUCCAAGUAGGGUAAUGACUUUGUGACUUUUUAAAUUAUUCCUGCAAUUUUGGUCAAACAGGAUGUUCUUCUUGCUCUCUGUCCCAUGUGGUUUCACUAAGUGGCUCGCUUGUUAGAGAGAUGUGCCUCUUCCAUUGCAAAUGAAGUGAGGAUGAUUUAAAAGCAUUUAUAACAGCUUCUGAGCUGCAGUGAUGUGCUGAACUCUGUCAUGAACCUAGAUGUGGUUUCUCCCCUAAUGGAGACCCUAAAUGCCACCAAACACAGGUGUUCACCUUCUUUUCUAUGAUUCACUUGGAUGCAUUUUCCCUGGGUGAGCUCAGCUCACAGAAGAUGACCGGGAGAAGGCACUUUCCGAUCCUGCCUCUGAAUGACGAGCACAGAGGCUCUGAGCAGCCUACCUGGGGGGUCUCCUCUCCAGCUGAUCAGAGAGAUUUCCUACAAUCUCUCCUGGAAAGAUUGGUGAAACUAAAGCUUAUGGAGAAACAAUUUUGGAUGCUCACCAAAUAGUAAACAUUUUCUUGUUUUUUGAAUAUUUAAGGGCACAUUUUAUUAUUUAUAAGUUAAAGUAUAUCUCACUAAUAAUAGAGCCUAUUUAGAAAAAUGUGUAUUAUCUGCACACAUUUUUAACAGCACAAAUAACUUGAAUUCUAUUUUUCUCAUUAAUAGGCUAUUUUGACUUGUACAGAAAUUUAAAUAAAAAACAACUGAAUGGAUGCUUAGUGUGUAUGUAUUUGAUUUCAUAAGAAUCACGAGUUUCCAGCAUUUUCACCAAUAAAGUUCACUUUUGUUAGUUUUUGCUCUAUUUAUUCUAGAUCAGAAGGAUUUUUGCCUCCCAAAUGGAGUGUAUUAAGUAACAGUUAAUUUGCUUGUUUAGUUUUCCCUUUUUAACAUCAAAGGCAUAAACAGCUAGUAUCAGUUAUU